rnacentral:ribozyme from 1 species
UGCCCAGCAACUCCUAGCCCUACCUCCUCAUGGUACUGGCCGAGGUACGAGUAACCUUAAGGAAGAUCGGAUAACCAACUCCAGUGGGAAAUUUGGUCGUAUGCUGAAAGGGAAGA